GGGAGGCAGAGUCCUUCUGGAGUUUGACCCUUGGAUUCCAUCCAGAGCAGCCUCCAAAAUGACACCUUUGAAGUUGUGUAUCGAGCUGGGGGAUGUAAAGGGAGGAGAAGAAAGAAGAUGAAGAGAUACCAGCCAGCCUUAAGGAGUGGACAUCCUGCCUGGUGAAACUGAACAAGACACCGACCGCAUAUGGAGUUUCGCUCUGUCGCCCAGGCUGGAGUGCAGUGGUGCCAUCUCGGCUCACCGCAACCUCCACCUCCAGGUUCAAGUGAUUCUCCUGCCUCAGCCUCUCAAGUAGCUGGGAUUACAGGUG
rnacentral:lncRNA from 1 species